GUUGUGCAAUAAUCACAACAAAAUGUCGGCUACAAUCAAGUUUCUAUCCGUUUUCUAUCUGUGUGUGGUGCUGGGCGCAGUAUUUGCGAAUCACAAUGCAGUCGAUUCUAACACAAUGACUUAUCGAGUUGCUGAUGUUGCAAAUAUCGAUAAGAUAGUUAUACAUUUGUUGAGUUCUGAUAACAAGAUGAUGGGGCAAGCUGGUACUGGUCACCACAAUAAGCGUGUCAAAAGGCAAUUGGAAAAAAACAUAGAAGAUGACGCGACAUACUUAGCACGCUUCCUCUAAUGUUCGGACACAAGAUGCCGAGAACAAUAACGACGGACAUAAUGGCAAUCGACGUAUGGACAAGCUUCUUCGAAUCAUUAAACAAUAUUUAAAGAAACCACAG